rnacentral:rRNA from 1 species
GAUGAACGCUGGCGGCGUGCCUAAUACAUGCAAGUCGAGCGAACAGAUGAGGAGCUUGCUCCUUUGACGUUAGCGGCGGACGGGUGAGUAACACGUGGAUAACCUACCUAUAAGACUGGGAUAACUUCGGGAAACCGGAGCUAAUACCGGAUAAUAUUUUGAACCGCAUGGUUCGAUAGUGAAAGAUGGUUUUGCUGUCACUUAUAGAUGGACCCGCGCCGCAUUAGCUAGUUGGUAAGGUAACGGCUUACCAAGGCGACGAUCCGUAGCCGACCUGAGAGGGUGAUCGGCCACACUGGAACUGAGACACGGUCCAGACUCCUACGGGAGGCAGCAGUAGGGAAUCUUCCGCAAUGGGCGAAAGCCUGACGGAGCAACGCCGCGUGAGUGAUGAAGGUCUUCGGAUCGUAAAACUCUGUUAUUAGGGAAGAACAUAUGUGUAAGUAACUGUGCACGUCUUGACGGUACCUAAUCAGAAAGCCACGGCUAACUACGUG